GACCAACUAAGUUAGUUCUUGGUAUGAGCUUUCGUGUGCAAGCACACUUCUUCAGAUACCAGGUAUCUGAAGAAGUGUGCUUGCACACGAAAGCUCAUACCAAGAACUAACUUAGUUGG